UUCUGGUGAUUUGUCGCAAGGGUCACACCCGUUCUCAUUCCGAACACGGAAGUUAAGCCUUGUUGAGGCGAUGAUACUCCUAUGGGGGAAAGUAGCUAGUCGCCAGAACU
rnacentral:rRNA from 1 species